rnacentral:rRNA from 1 species
GACAGAGGGUGCAAACGUUGUUCGGAAUUACUGGGCGUAAAGCGCGUGUAGGCGGCCCUGCAAGUCGGAUGUGGAAUCCCACGGCUCAACCGUGGAAGUGCAUUCGAAACUGCAGGGCUAGAGUCCGGGAGAGGAGAGUGGAAUUCCUGGUGUAGCGGUGAAAUGCGCAGAUAUCAGGAAGAACACCCGUGGCGAAAACGGCUCUCUGGAACGGUACUGACGCUGAGACGCGAAAGCGUGGGGAGCGAACAGG